rnacentral:rRNA from 1 species
GUGGAUUAGAUACCCUGGUAGUCCACGCCGUAAACGUUGGGAACUAGAUGUGGGGGCCAUUCCACGGCUUCCGUGUCGCAGCUAACGCAUUAAGUUCCCCGCCUGGGGAGUACGGCCGCAAGGCUAAAACUCAAAGGAAUUGACGGGGGCCCGCACAAGCGGCGGAGCAUGCGGAUUAAUUCGAUGCAACGCGAAGAACCUUACCAAGGCUUGACAUAUACGAGAACGCUGCAGAAAUGUAGAACUCUUUGGACACUCGUAUACAGGUGGUGCACGGUUGUCGCCAGCU